rnacentral:lncRNA from 1 species
UUUAAACGAACGUUUUCAAUCUUUCUUAUCCUCCAACUUCUCCCUCUCUUCAUUUUUUUUCCUUUUCAUCUCACUCACGGUUUCACCUGCUUCUCCUCGUUUCAUUACUCUUUCCUUCUUCCUUCUUAUUUCUCAUGCCACUUCUUUUUCACAUAUGAAGCUCACGUGCUUCUGCGUUCCUGCUUAGAGGAUGUAAAACUCUGAUGCCUCCCGGUAAUUUCUCUGCUUUCAACUUUUCUCGUGAAGAAGGACUGUGUACGAAAUGUUGAAGUUUUCACACCUCACGCCAAGUUUAAAUGAAGCGAAGCAUUUUGUUUCUUGGAAUUAUUGGCAUGGUACUAUUGUCUUUUGCAAGUGCUGCAUUUAUGCCCGAAAUGGAUUUUGAGAGCUUAGAGAGCGGGGGCUUAACAGAGGAAGAACAAUCACGUGCCAAGGUGUCGCAAAAAAUGCUUCAAUUUAUUAAGAAAGAACUCGAUAAUGAACAAUAACCCCACUGAAAUAUUUCAGCAAGUUAUCUCAAUAAGAAUAAACACCAUAAACAUCUUCAAUGAUUUAAGAAAAGCAUGGAGAUGGCAACUUUUGUUUUCCCCCGCUACAAAUUUAUCCUCUUGUGAUUAAGAUAGAAAUUAUUGGCGUUAUAAUUUUUAUUUAUUAAUACAUUUCAUUUUCAAUCGGUUUCGAAAAUCCUUUCACUACAUGCGUUUAGUUGUUGAAAAUUCCUUCUGAAAUUCUGUUUAUUUAUAUUAAGUUAUGCAAUGUACUAGAAAA